CAAGCAGCGGAGCAUGUGGUUUAAUUCGAAGCAACGCGAAGAACCUUACCAGGGCUUGACAUCCCUCUGACAGUCCCUUAACCGGGACCUUCUUCGGACAGAGGAGACAGGUGGUGCAUGGUUGUCGUCAGCUCGUGUCGUGAGAUGUUGGGUUAAGUCCCGCAACGAGCGCAACCCUUGUCUUUAGUUGCCAUCAUUCAGUUGGGCACUCUAGAGAGACUGCCGAGGACAACUCGGAGGAAGUGGGGAUGACGUCAAAUCAUCAUGCCCCUUAUGUCCUGGGCUACACACGUGCUACAAUGGCUGGUACAAAGAGACGCAAGACCGCGAGGUGGAGCAAAUCUCAAAAACCAGUCCCAGUUCGGAUUGGAGUCUGCAACUCGACUCCAUGAAGUUGGAAUCGCUAGUAAUCGCGGAUCAGCAUGCCGCGGUGAAUACGUUCCCGGGCCUU
rnacentral:rRNA from 2 species